rnacentral:tRNA from 2 species
GGCCUGAUAGUUCAGUGGUAGAAUUCUUGCUUUGGGACACAAAUUGUAAGAGGUCUCCGGUUCGAUCCCGGAUUAGGCCC